AGGUCUUGACAUCCCACUGCCCGGUAUAUCUCUAUACCGGGCAGUGGGAUGUCAAGACCUGGUAAGGUUCUUCGCGUUGCUUCGAAUUAAACCACAUGCUCCACCGCUUGUGCGGGCCCCCGUCAAUUCCUUUGAGUUUCAGUCUUGCGACCGUACUCCCCAGGCGGAGUGCUUAAUGCGUUUGCUGCAGCACUAAAGGGCGGAAACCCUCUAACACUUAGCACUCAUCGUUUACGGCGUGGACUAC
rnacentral:misc_RNA from 1 species